AUUGAACGCUGGCGGCAUGCUUUACACAUGCAAGUCGAACGGUAACAGGUCUUCGGAUGCUGGCGAGUGGCGAACGGGUGAGUAAAGUAUCGGAACGUGCCCAGUCGUGGGGGAUAACGUAGCGAAAGUUACGCUAAUACCGCAUACGAUCUAUGGAUGAAAGCGGGGGAUCGCAAGACCUCGCGCGAUUGGAGCGGCCGAUAUCAGAUUAGGUAGUUGGUGGGUAAAGGCUCACCAAGCCGACGAUCUGUAGCUGGUCUGAGAGGACGACCAGCCACACUGGGACUGAGACACGGCCCAGACUCCUACGGGAGGCAGCAGUGGGGAAUUUUGGACAAUGGGCGAAAGCCUGAUCCAGCCAUGCCGCGUGCAGGAUGAAGGCCUUCGGGUUGUAAACUGCUUUUGUACGGAACGAAAAGGUUUGGGCUAAUAAGCUGAGCUCAUGACGGUACCGUAAGAAUAAGCACCGGCUAACUACGUGCCAGCUGCCGCAGUAA
rnacentral:rRNA from 1 species